rnacentral:lncRNA from 1 species
UACCCUAUCGUAGCUAUCCACCUGACUCGGCCUCGAGUCAAUCAUCCGCGGAUAUUCCGCGCACUGGCUGCUCAACAGCCUACCGCUCUCCGUGACUUAGCCUCUUAGCGGCGAAAUCGUCGCACACGCUGAACCCGGCUCAAGUCCCUUGACAUAGCCAGUCUGGCGGCGAACACGUUGCACUUACCCAGCGAGGACUCAAGUCAUGACCUAUCCAUCUGG